UACGUAGGGGGCAAGCGUUGUCCGGAAUCAUUGGGCGUAAAGAGCGUGUAGGCGGCCCGGUAAGUCGGCUGUGAAAGUCCAAGGCUCAACCUUGGGAUGCCGGUCGAUACUGCCGGACUAGAGUUCGGAAGAGGCGAGUGGAAUUCCCGGUGUAGCGGUGAAAUGCGCAGAUAUCGGGAGGAACACCUAUGGCGAAGGCAGCUCGCUGGGACGUUACUGACGCUGAGGAGCGAAAGCAUGGGGAGCGGACAGG
rnacentral:rRNA from 1 species